UACGUAGGUGGCAAGCGUUGUCCGGAUUUACUGGGCGUAAAGAGCGCGCAGGCGGUCGAUCAAGUCGCGUGUGAAAUCCCCAGGCUCAACCUGGGAACUGCGUCUGAUACUGGAUGGCUUGAAUUCGGGAGAGGGAUGCAGAAUUCCAGGUGUAGCGGUGAAAUGCGUAGAUAUCUGGAGGAAUACCGGUGGCGAAGGCGGCAUCCUGGACCGACAUUGACGCUGAUGAGCGAAAGCUAGGGGAGCAAACGGG
rnacentral:rRNA from 1 species